rnacentral:rRNA from 1 species
GAGCACGUAGGCGGGGAGGUAAGUUGAAUGUGAAAGACCGGGGCUCAACCUCGGACCCGCAUCCAAAACUGCCUCUCUUGAGGAUGGACGGAGAAAGGAGAAUUCCAAGUGUAGCGGUGGAAUGCGUAGAUAUUUGGAAGAAUACCGGUGGCGAAGGCGCCUUUCUAGUUCACUCCUGACGCUGAGGUGCGAAAGCAAGGGUAGCGAACAGGAUUAGAUACCCUGGUAGUCCUUGCCGUAAACGAUGUACACUUGAUGUAACUGGUCUCAACCCCAGUUGUGUCGUAGCUAACGCGUUAAGUGUACCGCCUGAGGAGUACGCUCGCAAGGGUGAAACUCAAAAGAAUUGACGGGGGCCCGCACAAGCAGUGGAGCAUGUGGUUUAAUUCGAUGCAACGCGAAGGACCUUACCUGGACUUGACAUGUACCGGACAGCUACAGAAAUGUAGUUUCUCGUGAGAGUCGGUACACAGGUGCUGCAUGGCU